AACGAACGCUGGCGGCAGGCCUAACACAUGCAAGUCGAGCGCCCCGCAAGGGGAGCGGCGGACGGGUGAGUAACGCGUGGGAACGUGCCCUUUGCUACGGAAUAGCCUCGGGAAACUGGGAGUAAUACCGUAUGUGCCCUACGGGGGAAAGAUUUAUCGGCAAAGGAUCGGCCCGCGUUGGAUUAGGUAGUUGGUGGGGUAACGGCCUACCAAGCCGACGAUCCAUAGCUGGUUUGAGAGGAUGAUCAGCCACACUGGGACUGAGACACGGCCCAGACUCCUACGGGAGGCAGCAGUGGGGAAUCUUAGACAAUGGGCGCAAGCCUGAUCUAGCCAUGCCGCGUGAGCGAUGAAGGCCUUAGGGUUGUAAAGCCCUUUCAGUGGGGAAGAUAAUGACGGUACCCACAGAAGAAGCCCCGGCUAACUCCGUGCCAGCCGCCGCCGUAAUAC
rnacentral:rRNA from 1 species